GGACGCGGCGGGCUUUGCGCGUGCGCGCGGGGCACAAGCCGUCGACCCGGCGAGCCAAGCAGCGAGCGACCCGAGACCGUCCGCCGAGGAGACAAGCAAGCUGUCAUGUUAUAAGCAGCCCUUUGAGGGGUCCAUGUGAUGUCAAAGAAUGAAGUCUCUAGUCAACUUUUAAUGAGGUCUUGAGGCCCAUAAACAAUCUUGAGUGAGUUUGGAAGUAGCUCCUUCAGCAUCACUUGGAUGUUGAGAUGACUACUGACAGCUUUACUGCAACCUCAUGAAAGUCUUCUGAACCAAAACCACUCAGAAGGUGAUAUCUGAGCUGAGAGGCAAAGGAUGAGAAGGAAUCUGUCAUGUGAAGACCUGGGAAGCAGGUGUACUAAGCAGAAGAGCAGUAAGUACAAAGACCGUGAGGAAGAAGACCGAAGACUAAUUUCUGAGCACUCCAAUUGUAGGCAGUAGUGGAGAUGAAGAAAAACCAGAGCACUAUAUGGUAAAGGAGCAGCCAACAAGGUACCAGUUGAAUGAAGAGAAGCACACCUCCUCCCCAGAACAGUACUGCAGCUAUGAUAUAACGCCUGGGCAGGGUUCGCAGUAGC